rnacentral:tRNA from 1 species
GCCCAUAUGGCUCAGUGGCUAGAGCAUCUCACUCGUACGCAAGAGAAUCAUGAGAAGAUCCCUUGUUCGACUCAAGGUGUGGGCU